GUCCAAUGCAAAUCUUCGGGGCCCAGCAGGGAAACUCCCAGCAAGAACUACAAUUCACACCUCGGGGGGCAAAAUGCCAUUUUGCAUGGUAUUCCAGGACUUCCAAACAUGAAAUGAUAUACAUGUAUCAGGGCACAAAAUCUUAUUCUCUGCAUGUUUUUCAGUACCUGUCCAUGUCAGCCUCCACAACUGAUCAAAUUUGGUACUGCAGCCCUCAGCUGUUCAGCAAGCGCAACCAGAUUUUCACCUGCCUCUAUCCAGUAUCUCAAGAUGCCCAAAUUGAAAUGGCAAGUGUCAUGGCAAGGAGGUCCCUUAAUGUCUAAUCCUCAGGAGCAUUGAUCUGUGCUCCUCCUUUGACAUACACCAGGUUCCAGAAUUGUAUUUCUGAAGACCUGUACGCUGCUCCCACUAAAGUAGCGAACUUGCAUCCCAAGCUAGCAAAGCCUUCCAAAACUGCUUUAUUUCCAGAAUAUUCAUAUGUGUGGGAUUCUUCUGCACAGACUGAUUUUUAAAAGACCACUUUUUGACAGAAGUGGCUACAUUCUUCUUAUUUAUGUGCAAAGAUCCUCUGCAUAGAAAGAUUCAUUUGUUCUUCUAAACCAUCUAAGUAAGAUGUGGGAACAAAAUGCAUACAUUCAAUCCUUCUCAAGUUUAAUUCAUCUACUCAUUAUUUCAAAGAUUUUCGCAAGCUGCUGACACAGAAAGGCAGAGAACUUUAGUUUAGUACCAUUUCAUUUUCAAGAAGCAUUAUGUGAACAUUACCUGUGCAAUAAACUGUUGAUUUGCAUGUCA
rnacentral:lncRNA from 1 species